rnacentral:rRNA from 1 species
AUGAACGCUGGCGGCGUGCCUAAUACAUGCAAGUCGAGCGAACAGACGAGGAGCUUGCUCCUCUGACGUUAGCGGCGGACGGGUGAGUAACCCGUGGAUAACCUACCUAUAAGACUGGGAUAACUUCGGGAAACCGGAGCUAAUACCGGAUAAUAUAUUGAACCGCUUGGUUCAAUAGUGAAAGACGGUUUUGCUGUCACUUAUAGAUGGAUCCGCGCCGCAUUAGCUAGUUGGUAAGGUAACGGCUUACCAAGGCGACGAUGCGUAGCCGACCUGAGAGGGUGAUCGGCCACACGGGAACGGAGACACGGACCAGACGCCUACGGGAGGCAGCAGUAGGGAAUCUGCCGCAAUGGGCGAAAGCCUGACGGAGCAACGCCGCGUGAGUGAUGAAGGUCUUCGGAUCGUAAAACUCUGUUAUUAGGGAAGAACAAAUGUGUAAGUAACUAUGCACGUCUUGACGGUACCUAAUCAGAAAGCCACGGCUAACUACGUG